UACGUAGGUGGCGAGCGUUGUCCGGAUUUACUGGGCGUAAAGGGAGCGUAGGCGGACUUUUAAGUGAGAUGUGAAAUACCCGGGCUCAACUUGGGUGCUGCAUUUCAAACUGGAAGUCUAGAGUGCAGGAGAGGAGAAUGGAAUUCCUAGUGUAGCGGUGAAAUGCGUAGAGAUUAGGAAGAACACCAGUGGCGAAGGCGAUUCUCUGGACUGUAACUGACGCUGAGGCUCGAAAGCGUGGGGAGCAAACAGGAUUAGAUACCCCCGUACGU
rnacentral:rRNA from 1 species